ACAUCUGUGGGGGCCACAGUGGAACAGAGAGCCUUUCUACAGUGGAGUGCUUUGACCCCCUCACUAAUGAAUGGAGCUUGAUCACUCCAAUGAGCACUCCCCGUCACAGCCUUGGAGUCACGGCGUAUAGAGGGAAGAUCUAUGCGGUGGGCGGUAUCAACAGGCCUGAUGACCUGCAGACCAUGGAGGUCUAUGACCCUACCACAAACCGCUGGCAUGCUGUGGCCCCCAUGUCCACACCGCGCAGUGAAUUUGGCAUCGCAGUGGUGGACGACCUCCUGUUUGUGAUGGGCGGCCACGAUGGGUUUAGGGUAACUAACAAGGUGGAGUGUUAUGAUGCGGGGACAGGCAGCUGGUAUCGUGCGCAGGACAUGAGCAGAGCCAGAAAACACUUCAGCUGCUGCGUAGUGCCUGCGCACCCCCGCAUCAUAAAAUACGCUUCACCUCGUUAGUCCCUAACGGCCACCAAGGAGGAGAGAAACCCAUCUGCCCACAACAGCAUGCCCAACUCUGCUUCCUCAUUGGAAGGUGUGUUGGUGGGAUCGAGGUCUUUGAAGUCAAGGCUGUCCGGAAGUCAUUUUCCAUGGCCUCGCUAAGCUCCUCCCACACCUGAGUUUUUGCCUCGACGACCGCCGAAGCCGCAUUCCAUCAUUUCAUCACUGCUGUCCACCAGCGGGUUCGGGGAAUGCCGCCACAACAGGCACCGACCACCUUACGGCCACAGCUCCAGUCAGCCGCCUCCACAACGGAGGCAUGGAACAAGGCCCAUUCGGACUCAAUGUCCCCUGCGUCCUCCAGGACAUGGGAGAAGCUCUGCUGGAGGUCGGAGUUGAAUCUUCUCCUGACAUUGCAUACUUAAAAUAAAGUUCUCUUUUUUAUAUUA